rnacentral:rRNA from 1 species
CACGUGGAGAACCUGCCCCCUCCCCCGGGAUAGCCGCCCGAAAGGACGGGUAAUACCGGAUACCCCCGGGCGCCGCAUGGCGCCCGGGCUAAAGCCCCGACGGGAGGGGAUGGCUCCGCGGCCCAUCAGGUAGACGGCGGGGUGACGGCCCACCGUGCCGACAACGGGUAGCCGGGUUGAGAGACCGACCGGCCAGAUUGGGACUGAGACACGGCCCAGACUCCUACGGGAGGCAGCAGUGGGGAAUCUUGCGCAAUGGGGGGAACCCUGACGCAGCGACGCCGCGUGCGGGACGGAGGCCUUCGGGUCGUAAACCGCUUUCAGCAGGGAAGAGUCAAGACUGUACCUGCAGAAGAAGC